rnacentral:rRNA from 1 species
CCUACGGGAGGCAGCAGUGAGGAAUAUUGGUCAAUGGGCGUAAGCCUGAACCAGCCAAGUCGCGUGAGGGAUGAAGGUUCUAUGGAUCGUAAACUUCUUUUAUAAGGGAAUAAAGUGUGGGACGUGUCUUGUUUUGUAUGUACCUUAUGAAUAAGGAUCGGCUAACUCCGUGCCAGCAGCCGCGGUAAUACGGAGGAUCCGAGCGUUAUCCGGAUUUAUUGGGUUUAAAGGGUGCGUAGGCGGCCUGUUAAGUUAGCGGUGAAAGUCUGUGGCUCAACCAUGGAAUUGCCGUUGAAACUGGGGGGCUAGAGUAUAUUUGAGGCAGGCGGAAUGCGUGGUGUAGCGGUGAAAUGCUUAGAGAUCACGCAGAACCCCGAUUGCGAAGGCAGCCUGCCAAGCCAUGACUGACGCUGAUGCACGAAAGCGUGGGGAGCAAACAGGAUUAGAUACCCCAGUAGUC